CCAAAAUGUCCUCUCAUACGGCAGUGAAGAGAGAGUGUUGAUCCCUUCUCUUUGUGGAGAUGUGAAAACAGCUGCUGCAGCUCCAGCCCAGUCCCUGGUUUCCUUUGGGGAGGUGGCCGUGUAUUUCGGAGAGGCAGAAUGGGCAUUACUGGAUCCACACCAAAGAGCUCUAUAUGAAGGCGUCAUGCUGGAGAACUAC